AGUGAACGCUGGCGGUAGGCCUAACACAUGCAAGUCGAACGGCAGCACAGUAAGAGCUUGCUCUUACGGGUGGCGAGUGGCGGACGGGUGAGGAAUACAUCGGAAUCUACUUUUUCGUGGGGGAUAACGUAGGGAAACUUACGCUAAUACCGCAUACGGCCUACGGGUGAAAGCAGGGGAUCUUCGGACCUUGCGCGAUUGAAUGAGCCGAUGUCGGAUUAGCUAGUUGGCGGGGUAAAGGCCCACCAAGGCGACGAUCCGUAGCUGGUCUGAGAGGAUGAUCAGCCACACUGGAACUGAGACACGGUCCAGACUCCUACGGAAGGCAGCAGUGGGGAAUAUUGGACAAUGGGCGCAAGCCUGAUCCAGCCAUACCGCGUGGGUGAAGAAGGCCUUCGGGUUGUAAAGCCCUUUUGUUGGGAAAGAAAAGCAGCAGGUUAAUACCCCGCUGUUCUGACGGUACCCAAAGAAUAAGCACCGGCUAACUUCGUG
rnacentral:rRNA from 1 species